rnacentral:rRNA from 1 species
GAUGAACGCUGGCGGCGUGCUUAACACAUGCAAGUCGAGCGGUGAAAGAGAGCUUGCUCUCUGGAUCAGUGGCGAACGGGUGAGUAACACGUGAGCAAUCUGCCCCUGACUCUGGGAUAAGCGCUGGAAACGGCGUCUAAUACCGGAUACGAGCUGCGAAGGCAUCUUCAGCAGCUGGAAAGAACUUCGGUCAGGGAUGAGCUCGCGGCCUAUCAGCUAGUUGGUGAGGUAACGGCUCACCAAGGCGUCGACGGGUAGCCGGCCUGAGAGGGUGACCGGCCACACUGGGACUGAGACACGGCCCAGACUCCUACGGGAGGCAGCAGUGGGGAAUAUUGCACAAUGGGCGAAAGCCUGAUGCAGCAACGCCGCGUGAGGGACGACGGCCUUCGGGUUGUAAACCUCUUUUAGCAGGGAAGAAGCGAAAGUGACGGUACCUGCAGAAAAAGCACCGGCUAACUACGUG